GGUUGUGGCUCAGUGGUAGAAUGCUCAUCUGGCAUGUGCAAGGCCCUGUGUUCGAUCCUCAGCACUA
rnacentral:tRNA from 1 species